UGGAAUUUAUAAUUUUGCGGUUUUCAUAAUAUCCUGAAUAUUCCUGUUGAAGUCCAGCUCUAUAUUUUUCCUUACAUAUCUUAAAUAAAUUGUUUAUCCAAUGUUUACUUAUAUGGAAUAAAUAUUAGCACAUAUAUUAACUUUUCUGCAUUGCUUUAGGGCAACUUAAAAUUUAGCAGUACUUGCCUGACAUAUUUACUUUGCAACUCGUUAUUUACAAAUAAACGACACAUUUGCAAUUAAUUAACAUGUAUCCAGAAUGUAAAAACUGGGUCGUUUUGGAUAGAAGAAAAUGUUUAAACGAAAUUGGCUUGAUUUGCUUCGAGUUAGUCGAAUUUCCAACACCUUACCGACAUCUCCACAUCAUCUCUACAAUGGCAAGAAAGAACACAAUCGCGCUGCGAAGGACCAUCGAAAGGGCAGAGAAACUGCUUUAGUUAAUAAAUAUAUUGUAGUAAUAAUUGAUUAUGUUUGUUUGCCUGAUAAAAUAAAUACAAUUAAAUUUU